rnacentral:rRNA from 1 species
AACGAACGCUGGCGGCGUGGUUAAGACAUGCAAGUCGAACGGAAUGGUUCGGUAGCAAUAUCGAACCGUUCAGUGGCGAACGGGUGCGUAACACGUGGGUCACAUUCCGGGAAGUGGAGAAUAGCCCAGGGAAACUUGGAUUAAUGCUCCAUGUGGUCGCAAGACUAAAGGCGCAAGCCGCUUCCUGAUUGGCCCGCGGCCUAUCAGCUAGUUGGUGGGGUAAUGGCCCACCAAGGCUACGACGGGUAGCUGGUCUAAGAGGACGACCAGCAACACGGGAACUUAGACACGGUCCAGAAACCUACGGGUGGCAGCAGUCGAGAAUCUUUCACAAUGGGGGAAACCCUGAUGGAGCGACGCCGCGUGGAGGAUAAGGUCUUCGGAUUGUAAACUCCUGUCAUGCGAGAACAAGGCCUUGCGGCUUGAUAGUAUCGCAAGAGGAAGAGACGGCUAACUCUGUGCCAGCAGCCGCGGUAAAAC